rnacentral:rRNA from 1 species
GACGAACGCUGGCGGCGUGCUUAACACAUGCAAGUCGAACGGAAAGGCCCUGCUUUUGUGGGGUGCUCGAGUGGCGAACGGGUGAGUAACACGUGAGUAACCUGCCCUUGACUUUGGGAUAACUUCAGGAAACUGGGGCUAAUACCGGAUAGGAGCUCCUGCUGCAUGGUGGGGGUUGGAAAGUUUCGGCGGUUGGGGAUGGACUCGCGGCUUAUCAGCUUGUUGGGGGGGUAGUGGCUUACCAAGGCUUUGACGGGUAGCCGGCCUGGGAGGUUGACCGGCCACAUGGGGACUGAGAGACGGACCAGACGCCUACGGGAGGCAGCAGUGGGGAAUAUUGCACAAUGGGCGGAAGCCUGAUGCAGCAACGCCGCGUGCGGGAUGACGGCCUUCGGGUUGUAAACCGCUUUCGCCUGUGACGAAGCGUGAGUGACGGUAAUGGGUAAAGAAGCACCGGCUAACUACGUG